rnacentral:lncRNA from 1 species
AAGUUUGCUUUUAUUAUGAAACUAGUAUAUAUAUAUAGAAAACACGGACUCUUUUUUUUUUAAAUACACCCAGUAGGAAAGGCAAUGGUAUCGGAAACAUAAGCAGAACAGAACCAAUGGGGAGCCAUUGCGGUCUGCGUUUGGACAACAGCUGCAUACACUGCGCUCGGGGCGAAAGUAAGACACGGCGGUGCUCGGGAGUGCGGCCGGGCAGGUUGAGACCCCGUCUAAAGAGGCAGAGAGAGAGCGAUUAGCAGCUGAUAAAGACGGAAUAAUAAGCGUGUUGACCAAAUACGCAGAGAAAGGGCGACAGCGCGCAGGGAAGCUCUUUCUUUUAUUGACUUUGUUAACCACUUCGAGAGAGGCGGCAGGUGCUGCUCUCCAGGUGCGUCAGGCGUGGAAUCCCCUGCAGCCAUCGGAGCCAUUUAGUAAAUUAAUUCUUUGGCAUGAGGUCUGGGGAACAUCCUGUGACUUGUUGAAGCAGGUAGCGCGCUGCCGGGAGACGGCCCUCGGGGGCCCCCUAGCGGCGCUGGGGGGGAUCGGCGUCUCCGACCCUCGGGAACGACUCGUCCAGCCUCCGUCAGCCUGAAUCCGUCCCC